rnacentral:rRNA from 1 species
CAGUAGCCGCGGUAAAACAGAGGAUGCAAGCGUUAUCCGGAAUGAUUGGGCGUAAAGCGUCUGUAGGUGGCUUUUCAAGUCCGCCGUCAAAUCCCAAGGCUCAACCUUGGACAGGCGGUGGAAACUACCAAGCUGGAGUACGGCAGGGGCAGAGGGAAUUUCCGGUGGAGCGGUGAAAUGCGUUGAGAUCAGAAAGAACACCAACGGCGAAGGCACUCUGUUGGGCUGACACUGACACUGAGAGACGAAAGCUAGGGGAGCAAAUGGGAUUAGAUACCCGCGUAGUCCCUGUCUCUUAUAC